rnacentral:rRNA from 1 species
UACAGAGGUCCCAAGCGUUGUUCGGAAUUACUGGGCGUAAAGCGCACGUAGGCGGAUAUUUAAGUCAGGGGUGAAAUCCCAGAGCUCAACUCUGGAACUGCCUUUGAUACUGGGUAUCUUGAGUAUGGAAGAGGUAAGUGGAAUUGCGAGUGUAGAGGUGAAAUUCGUAGAUAUUCGCAGGAACACCAGUGGCGAAGGCGGCUUACUGGUCCAUAACUGACGCUGAGGUGCGAAAGCGUGGGGAGCAAACAGG